UACGUAGGGGGCCAGCGUUGUCCGGAUUCAUUGGGCGUAAAGCGCGCGUAGGCGGUUACACAAGUUGGAUGUGAAAGCCCUCGGCUUAACUGAGGAAGUGCAUCCAAAACUGUGCAGCUAGAGUACUAAAGAGGGUCGCGGAAUCCCGGUGUAGAGGUGAAAUUCGUAGAUAUGGGGAGGAACACCGGUGGCGAAGGCGGCCACCUGGACGGUAACUGACGCUGAGACGCGAAAGCGUGGGGAGCAAACAGG
rnacentral:rRNA from 1 species